rnacentral:sRNA from 1 species
UUUUUCAGGGUUCAAUGACUCGAUUCCACUUGUUCUCUCUCCACCUUCUCUAGUCGUGCAUUGAGGCCCAUGAGAAGGACAUGGAGCUCUCAUUUGCCGUGCAGCGCAGCAAGGACAUGGUGUGUGGGAUCUGCAUGGAGGUGGUCUAUGAGAAAGCCAACCCCAGUGAGCGCCGCUUCGGGAUCCUCUCCAACUGCAACCACACCUACUGUCUCAAGUGCAUUCGCAAGUGGAGGAGUGCUAAGCAAUUUGAGAGCAAGAUCAUAAAGUCCUGCCCAGAAUGCCGGAUCACAUCUAACUUUGUCAUUCCAAGUGAGUACUGGGUGGAGGAGAAAGAAGAGAAGCAGAAACUCAUUCUGAAAUACAAGGAGGCAAUGAGCAACAAGGCGUGCAGGUAUUUUGAUGAAGGACGUGGGAGCUGCCCAUUUGGAGGGAACUGUUUUUACAAGCAUGCGUACCCUGAUGGCCGUAGAGAGGAGCCACAGAGACAGAAAGUGGGAACAUCAAGCAGAUACCGGGCCCAACGAAGGAACCACUUCUGGGAACUCAUUGAGGAAAGAGAGAACAGCAACCCCUUUGACAA